rnacentral:rRNA from 1 species
AUGCGGAAGGCGAUGGGGAGCGUGGACGAUCUGAUCGAGGAGGCCAAGGUGCGCACCGUGGCCUGGGCUCUCGGCAUCUUCGCCAUCUCCUACUUCCUCACACAUACAAGUAAAUCAAUGUGGACAAAUGUCCCCAUGUCGAUUCUUAUACUUGCAUUUCUCCGUUACGUCUCCUUCAAAGUGGAGUUCCGUUGGAGAAGUCAGCCUGUAUCUAAGCAGACAUAUUUGUCUCAAGCGUCAAAACGACAGUUGUCUGCUAACGAUCAUCGGAUUUCAACUGUGCCACCAGUUUCAAGAUGGAGAAGGAAAGUUGAUUCGCCUGCUGUUGAGGCUGCUUUUGAAAGUUUCAUUGAUAAUGUUCUCCGGGACUUUGUCAUGGACUUGUGGUAUUCUGAUAUUACUCCUGAUAGAGAGGCCCCAGAACUGAUACGUGGCUUAAUACUCCAUGCCCUUGGUGAAGUAUCAGGCAGGGCGAAGGAGAUGAACCUAGUUGACUUGCUAACAAGGGAUAUGUCUGAUUUGAUUGGAAAACAUGUGGAUAUGUUCCGAAAAAACCAAUCUGAAAUUGGUGUUGAUGUCAUGGGAACAUUGUCUUCCGAGGAAAGAGAUGAGCGACUGAAACAACACCUAAUAGUUUCACAGGAACUUCACCCUGCAUUGUUAUCUUCGGAGCACGAAUACAAGGUUCUUCAAGAGCUAGUUGGGGGCAUUAUGGCCCUAGUGCUGAGACCACAAGAUGCACAGAGUCCAUUGGUCCGCUGCUUCUCCAGGGAACUUCUGACUUGCUUAGUCUUGCAGCCAGUGAUGAACUUCGCAAGUCCUAUUUAUGUGAACGAGCUAAUUAUCUGCUUUCUAAACAACAAAGACACAAACAUUGGAGGCAGCGUAAACAAGACUAGUACUGUAGUCGCAGUAACAAAUGAUCAUUCAUCUUAUAAAGGAGGUUCGCAGGGUCGUCAAAUGGAAUCACAAAAGUUGUCUGCAGAAUCAAGUGGCUCAGUACUAGCAAGUAGCUCCGGGAUGACUUCCGUUGAGGGUGAUAAGUCAAAAGUGUUAGUGGAUGACCAUGGGAAGACCGUCCAGCCUCGUCAGGCAGAUUGGGCACUGGUAUUAGAUGCAGCUACUAAAAGGCGGUCUCAGGUUCUUGCUCCGGAGAAUCUUGAGAACAUGUGGGCUAUUGGGAGAAACUACCAAAAGAAUAUGGUGAAAGUGGAACGUCCAUCAAAAGGAAAAGGUGCAGGAGGGGUAGAUAGCGUUCGAAAUGCGGUAGUGGCCGGAAAAGAGUUAUCCCCUAACUUCAACGAGAGAGUUACAUCGGUUGAUGACAAAUACAUGGUUAAUUUGAUGCAAGGUUCAAAUAGGAAUGCUCAGUCCACUUUUGUUACAGGCAGUCACCCACUUGUUUCGCAAAAUACAGAUGAAGUAAAGUCAGAGCACCCUGAAGCUGUCAAGAACACAAAAGCUCAGCUAAAGCGGUCUAAUAGUAGUCCUGAUAUGGAGAAAAGACAUUUGGCCAAAAGUAAUCAAACCGCGCUAUCCAGUGAAAGCUUAAAUGCAAGGACCAUUCGAGAGGACAAAGGUUCUGUUCCUUCCUCACAUGGUGAGGUACUAAUGUAUGCUCCAAAGAUAAGGUGUCGGGUAGUGGGUGCAUAUUUCGAGAAACUUGGUUCAAAAUCUUUUGCAGUUUAUUCUAUUGCUGUGACUGGUGCAGAUAACAAGGCCUGGUUUGUGAAAAGAAGAUACCGGAAUUUUGAGCGUCUUCAUAGACAACUGAAGGAAAUACCAAAUUACUCACUGCACUUGCCUCCAAAGAGUUUCCUUUCGUCUAGUAUUGAUGAUUACCUUGUGCACCAACGAUGCAUUCUACUGGACAGAUAUCUUCAAGAUCUCUUGUCGAUCGCUAAUAUUGCAGAGCAGCAUGAAGUUUGGGAUUUUCUUAGUGAGUCCUCAAAGAAUUACUCAGCUGGAAAGUCCACCUCUGUUAUCAAAACCUUGGCUGUUAACGUUGAUGAUGCCAUGGAUGACAUCGUUCGACAUGUUAAAGGAGUUUCAGAUGGUCUAAAACGCGCAGUCGGCACAUCGUCCCCUAGCGCACCGUAUUCACACUUGACAGAUAAUAGGAUGUCUCUAUCUUGGAACCAGGAAGAGACAGAUAAUCAGAAUCUGCAGAAUAGAAAUUUAGGAAGUUCACAUAGUCUCUCUGAUGGUGAUAGUAACUGUGAAGAUCGCCCCUCAUCUGUAAAUAGUGCAUGCCACUCGGACAAUGAAUUGAGCAAUGGAGGGUUCAUUUCAAGUGAUAUUAAGCACAAUGAAGCAACUGGUUGUGAUGUACAAGUAAACCAACAAAUAGAAAAACCUGCAAGGGCAAAUUCGGAUUCUACAAACAUGUCAUCUGUAAAACCAUUUGAGGAUCCAUCAGGAAUUCCUCCCGAGUGGGUGCCAACAAAUGUCAGUGUGCCUCUAUUGAAUCUUGUAGACAAAGUGUUCCAACUAAAGCGACGGGGUUGGAUAAGAAAACAAGUUUUCUGGAUAUCAAAACAAAUCUUGCAGUUAGUCAUGGAAGAUGCGAUUGAUGAUUGGAUUUUAAGACAGAUCAAUUGGCUCCGACGAGAUGAGGUCAUUAUACAAGGAAUCCGUUGGAUUCAAGAUACCCUCUGGCCUAAUGGUGUGUUCUUCACCAAGUUGGAUGGAUAUCAAGGAAAUGCAGGUAGCAGUCAAUUUGACAAGCACCCAUCGGGGAGUGCCGAUGAGACUAUUGGCAACAGAAAGAGCAACGCGAGCUCUUUUGAGCUUCAACUGGAGGCAUCUAGAAAUGCCAGUGAAGUUAAGAAACUUCUUUUAGGUGGGACUCCAUCUACAUUAGUCAGCAUAAUUGGGUACAAGCAGUACCAGCGCAGUGCAAGGGACAUCUACUACUUCCUGCAGUCCACCGUGUGCGUGAAGCAGCUCACUUACGCGAUGAUAGAACAGGUGCUUGUAACACUUUUCCCUGAGCUUCAUAAGCUCAUAGAAGGCAUCCAUGAGAAGGGUCGCAAGGAACAAGCCUCGUUCAUUUACCAACUUUGA